ACAGAUAAGCGCAAGUAUUGCGAACCAAUCCAGUCUGGCUGCAGCUCACUGUCCAUUAUCACUACGACAGGACUGUACCGUUAUUUCAACCCAGGACACAUUGUUAAGAUGGGAAAUGUGACACCCGAUUAGGCCCACAGGUGGUUUUAAUCAUGCAAAGACUUCAUCUGUUUAGUAAAGAAUGAAUUUUAUGUGCAUUAAACAGAUGUUGGUCCUCUAAUGCACACAAAACCUACUGUAAAAGGCAUAAAUGGUCUUCAAAUAUAAAUAUGAAGUAGUUUCGUUGUCUUAUUAAGUACCAAAAACAGUGUGUUGACCAAAAACAGAAGAAAAAAAGACAGGUGACACUCAGGUCAACAGUGCAUGUAUUUCCUUUGUUUCCUCUGGCUCUGGGGGUUGUUGGUUAGUGGCGGGUAACAGGAAAAUGAAAUUCAGGAAGUCCCUUUGUGGUAGUUUUCUGGGUAUGUAGAUAGAAGCAGAGGACUUGGCAGAGAUACAGGUGUAAAGUCAUAAAUUACUGAUGUUAUCAGCUCUAGCAAGUGCACAAAGUCACUUUUCUUUUUGUGUAAAUGCAAAUAAAGCCGUAUGUGUUCCUCAAGCUGUCCCUGGCAAACCCAGUUCGGUAACACUUUACAAUAAGGUUCAUUAGUUAAACAUUAGUUAAUGUAUUAACUAACAUGAAUUUACUAUGAGCAAUACAUUUGUUACUGUACUUACUAAUCUUCGUUAACAUUAGUUAAUGAAAAUACAGUUGUUCAUUGUUUGUUCAUGUUAGUUCACAGUGCAUUAACUAAUGUUAACAAGAUUUUAAUAAUGUAUUAGUAAAUGUUGAAAUUAACAUUAGCAAAGAUUAAUAAAUGCUGUAUAAGUGAAGUUCAUUAUUAGUUCAUGUUAACUAAUUUAGUUAACUAAUGUUAACUAAUGAACCUUAUUGUAAAGUGUUACCCACAUUUCAUGUGGUUAACUUCAAAGGUGCUAUACUAUACUUCUAAGUGAUCAGACUUAAAAGAGGUGAAAAUUCCCACAGAUUUACUUUGAAGUAGAGCUUUAAGCCAUAUUUAGAGAUCAGAAUAUUAAAGGGUUAUUUCACCCAAAAAUGAAAAUAAUGUCAUUUAUUACUCACCCUCAUGCCGUUCCACACCCGUAAGACCUUCGUUCAUCUUCGAAACACAAAUGAAGAUAUUUUUUAUUAAAUCCGAUGGCUCAGUGAGGCCUGCAUAGACAGCAAUGGUACUUCCUCUCUCAAGAUCCAGAAAGGUACUAAAAACAUAUUUAAAUCAGUUCAUGUGAGUACAGUGGUUCAAUAUUAAUAUUAUAAAGCGACGAGAAUAUUUUUUGUGCGCCAAGGAAAAACAAACAAACAAACGACUUUUUAAUAAUAUCUAGUGAUGGCCGAUUUCAAAACACUGCUUUCAGAGCUUUAUGAAUCUUUUGAGUCGAAUCAGUGACUCGGAUCGCGUAUCAAACCACCAAACUGCUGAAAUCAUGAGACUUUGGCGCUCCGAUCCACUGAUUUGAUUCGUAAGGCUCCGAAGCUUCAAGAAGCAGUGUUAUGAAAUCGUAAUAUCAUUGCGCCUGCUGCACCCCUGGUACGGCAACAAAGUUCUUUGAUUAUUACGCCGGAAUGAGAGUAUAGUUCCUAGCCAUAUCGGCCUAGAAAAUUCCAACUUUUCAUUUUCUGUCGGUCUUAGUAUACGAUGUAACUACAGAAGAGUCAAGUUUUAAAUAGGAAAAAUAUCGAAACUCAUUGGUCAUUUUUGAGCGAGAUGCUAACGGUCUAAUCAGAUUCAAUGAUCUAUGCUAAGCUAUGCUAAAAGUGGUACCGCCAGACCCGGAGAUCAGCUGAAUGGAUUCAAAAACGGUAAAACUCAAUUGUUUAACUCUAGGGGAGUUGGAAAAUGAGCUUAUUUUCAAAUAAAGUGGAGUGUUCCUUUAAAGGGACUUUGACGAAGGUCUUAGGGGUGUGGAACGACAUGAGGGUGAGUAAUUAAUGACAUUAUUUUCAUUUUUGGUUGAACUAACCCUUUAAGGGUCAGUAAGCAACCACCCUAGUAACCACCUAGAACACCCUAGCAACCACACAGCAAUGCUCAAUAGCAUUCCUGGGGCUCAAACAUUAGAGCAUGACAUAGUUAUUUAAGUAACAUUGAUAUAUUAUUAUAGUUUAAUAUUUUUACAUUUUCUGUUUGAAUUUUAAAGUUUUAGUAAUUUUGUUGUGUGUUGCCAUUUCAAUUAGUUUUAUUCUUUAACAUGUCUAUAUAGUUUUUAUUAAGUUUAAGUUAGUUACUAAUAGAAAUGCUGAUUUUUUUAUAGGCUAUAUUUUAUUCUAGUUCAGUGCUUUAUUUUAUUUCAGGUUAUUAUCGUUAACUAGAAUCAAAAACAGUUCUGUUAAUUGAAAAAAAGCUGAAAUAAAAAAACAUAAAUAUUAGUUAAACUUAAACUAAAUGAAAAUUAGAAAUGUUGCCUUAGCACUAAACUGAAACGAGUUUAAGUUGAAGCACUAAAAUUAUUAACUGAAAAUAAAUAAAAUCUAAAUCUAAAGCUGAAAUAAACAUUAAGUAAACCUAAAUAGCAAUAUUUUAAUGGGCUACAUCUAAGAAGGAUGUGACGGUUACGCGCGCUCCCGAGAGCAUCUCUUCCGUUACCUAUCUCAAAGUCCCUUUUGUUAUUCUAUAGUUUUUUGGUAAUAUUACACAUGAAACACACACACUGACAUUCUGCACUGUAAUUUCAAGGUGUCAUGCAAAGAAAAGGUGUAAGUCUCACCUAGACAAAUAUUGUUUAUAGUCUCAAAUAUACUUUAUAAUCAAACUAUCACAACAGUGUAAUUUUAAUUACCUCAUUUGUUGUCAUGAUGCGCAGAGCUGGUGCAAAUGUCCACAUUGCUAUGAUCAAAUGCUUUCUUAACUACUGUUUCCUCACAGCUGUCAUUUUUGUUGUGUUUAUUUUGUUUUUGAAAGGAAAGCACGCUGCACUAUCAUCUAAAUGUCGCUCUCAAUAGUGUGGGCGGCGUCAGAAUGGUCGUUAACAGUAUUAAGGUGUUCCCAGUUUCUUUUUACUUGUUGUGUGCAAAGAACAAAAACCUUCGCCGAUUGAAAUGCGUUCAGUCUCUUGUGGAUGCGUGCACGAGUGCGACUCGCGAGGCGAGCACGAGCAAUAAGUUGCUGGCUGCAGUUCAUUUAACGGCCACUGGUGUCACUAAUAACAAGGGUUUCUACAGAAAAAAAAAAAAAAAACGUAUAAAUGCCAAAAGCAUAUAACGAAAAUACUAAAAAUGAAACUAAAAUUAACAAGAAAAUUAACAAUAUAAAAACAAAAAUACAAUUCAAAAUAUGAAUAAACCUAUAAUAAAACAAAACAAAACAAAAAUGCUGAAAAUGUUGCUUUUUAAAGGGAUAGUUCACCCAAAAAAUAAAAUUCUGUCAUCAUUUACUCACCCUCAAGUUGUUCUAAACCUGUAUAAAUUUCUUUCUUCUACUGAACACAAAAGAUGAUGUUCUGAAGAAUAUGGGUAACCAAACAAUUGAUGGACCGAAAUGACUUCCAUAUUAUGAAUAAAAAAAAAAAACUAAAAAAAAAAAAAACUUUGGAAGUCAAUGAGGCCCAACAACUGUUUGGUUUGGGAACCAUGAGUUCUUUUUGGAACCAAAAACGGUUCUUCAUCACUGCGAGAAACCUCCUUUUUGAACCUUUAUUUUUAAGAGUAUAUAACACAACAGGCAAACACACGUUUUCUUGACGAAAAUUGAAUUAAUUUCUGUAAGUUCUGUUAAUAUCAGUCUUUAAUGAACAACACUCAAUCUGUGACUUUUAAUGAAUCUCAUAAGAAAUAGAAAGUAACAGGAAAGGAAGAAACUAAAAAGGAAAGCGACAGGGAUGAGAAAAAAAACAAUUAACAAACACACCUCAGUCUUACAGAUCGAUUUGUGUUGCACAGAUUAUGGGGUAUGUUGAUAAUGCAUGGGUUGAGGGGUUGUAUGAAGACAUGUAACCGAGUUAAACCUGUCACUGGUUUACAGAACAGUCACAUGGCUUGGUAUCAUAACCUUAUUGGAUGAAGCGCGGGAAAAGGCUUCAGUACAGAACACGAGGCCGCUAUCUUUCUACACUGGACGUAACGGACAGCCAGGAGAGUGUGCAAAAACAGAGAUAGAGAAGACGAGAGACAGAGUGUUUUAGUUGACCAACACUCGUUUCUCUUGUGACCACUGUACUGCUGAGAUCUGAAUCUGUUGCUGCUUGUGUGUAUUGUUUACAAUAUGUUUACAAAUUUAUUAAAGUUACAUAAAAAUGAUUUUUCUGUUUUUACAGGCACACAUUGUUUGACUGCGAGUCUGAGACUGGAUGAAGUGGAUCUAGUGACGAUGGAGAAUGAUACUUGCUGAAUGGAGUCAAUGACUGCAGACAACACUUCACACACAGACUGGGGACGAUGGAGGGAACUCGGAGACAAGGGGAACAGGUAAGUAGCAAGGAGAGUCCUUGAGGUAAGCAUACAGGUAAAUCCUUAGAUGCGACCGAGACCAGACAAUGUGACUGUGUGUGUGAGUGUCUUAAGUAGUGCUGGUGAUGAGUGAGCUGAUGAGGUGCAGGUGGCGGUGAUUAGUACUCCGGGGAAGGUGUGCGCUGUGAUUGGUGGAUGUUGGAGCCUGGCGUGUCUGUGACACAAGUGGUAACUAAAUAUAUUUUUUAAAUACAGAGAUAGUAUAUUAAAAGCACAUUUUAGUUCAUAUUUCAUGGUGUCUCAAAAUAGCACAGUUGAGUACACUUAGAUGUUCUUAAGGUUAUCUUAAGUAAAGAAGAAUUUUUAGUAUAUUAAGCACAAAAUUAGUGCGCGAAAAUAGAGCACUUUAAGUACAUUAUAGAAGUGUACUUUUUUUUCACCUGGGCACACCCAACUAAACAACGCAUGACAUCACAGGAGGUGUCUUAAAGGUAUAUAACAAUUUAGAUUUUGAAGCCCGAAAAAAAUGCAUCCAUCCAUCAUAAAUAUAAUCCAUAUGGCUCCAGAGGGUUAAUAAAGGCCUUCUGAAGUGAAGCGAUGGGUUUUUGGAAUAAAAAUAUACAUAUUUAAAACUUUAUAAACUAAAAUAAUUAGCUUCCGCCAGAUGACAAUACGCAUACUGUCGACUUGCACAGUUUAAACAAAUAGGGCUGGGCAACAAACUCAAGCUCCUCUUCCAUCAAAAUCCUUCAAUAUUUCUCUUUAAAAUUUCUCAUUUUAGACUUCUAAUUCGUGACUGGUGUUUUCUACAUUCGCUGCUCAUCGAAGUCAUUGUCGUCAGUCAUCUACAUUAGAACAUUUCAGACCUGACCUUGUUGUAUGUGAGAGAAAUUUGACGUUAACAAGUGAGGAACAGCUUGACUCAGAGGAUUCAUCAGCAGCAGAUUUUAUUAGAACUUCAGUUGGACAACGAGUCCGUUCAGCGGUGAAUUGCAUCCCUUUUCCCUCGGAUACAAGCAGUUGUACAUGUGUCUCAGUCAGCUGUCCAGGAAAUUGUAGAGGAUUUAUUUGACAAAUAACUUAAGCAAUCAAUAGAAAGCAUUUUAAGGAACAUAACUGCACAUCUCAAGAAUGUAUCAAAGACUCAUUAAUUGAAGCUUUACAGAGUUCAAACGCUCUUACUUUCAAAGGAAGGGCCACUUGGUACAGAGUACAAAAAGGCAAUCAUUUUACAGUUAUUGAGCCUGUUGAAUAUGUUUUGAGUGCACGUGAAAGGACUCAUUCGUUUAUGUUCCUAAUCUAAACUUAUUAAGUGAAGUUAUAAAGAGAAGUUAUACUGAAAGCAAUGGUCAUAAAUAAUACAGUUGAACAGCCUAUUACAGGUCAUUUCUAGAUGGUGACUAUACAACUUCUUACAGGUCAAGGUGUAAGCGUGGCCCUUACAUUGCAUAUUGACGACUUCGAAAUUUGUAAUCCUUUAGGCACAUCCAAAAAGAAACUUUCCCCCUGGUUUCUCAGACAAGGCUUAAGUCUAGUCUCACACUAAAAUGCAUGUUUGAUCUGUUUUAACUGAAAGAAAAUUGCACUGACAUAUCUUUAAAUAUACAAGUUUUGUAGGUUUUGUUUAGCUAGUCGUGCUGACAUACAAACUUGUGAUAUUAGAAGUGUUAACUUUGAAGCUGUGAAUGUCUCAAAGGAAAACUAACUUGCGUUUGUUGAUAGUGUGAAACAACACUGUCCUUUAAACAGAUUAACAUUUUUUCACACAUGCAAAUGCUUUCAGUCUGGUUUUUUACAUGAUAGAAGGCAUCGUACCAAUGGAACCAAGUUUGUGCUUGGAAGAUUUUAUUUCCAAAAAAAUAUUUCACAUUGGAAGCACUUAAAGGGUUAGUUCAGUCUUAGAUGAACGAAGGUCUUAUGGGUGUGGAACGACAUGAGGGUGAGUGAUUAAUGACAGAAAUUUCAUUUUUGGGUGAACUAAACCUUUAAUAGUGAAAUACAAGGCUUUCACCAUGGCUUGUCGGACAAAGCAACAGUAACUAAGGGGGGGGCGGGUCUUUGCGAAGGGUCAAUUAGUCCUUGAGAUAAAAGACUUGCCCUGCGUCUCAAUCAGCUCCCUAGCUCCCUAGGUCGUGAAUCAGUAUAUCGUGACAAUGAAUGUGGCCGACUCCCUGAUCAGUGCCCUGACUACUGAACUAGGGAGCUGAUUGAGACGUACCCUUGGUUGAGUUAUUGUCAACCCCAUUUUUUACUUCCAAGUCCCUUUAUUAUUUGCGACCCAAAAUAUCAGACCACAGGGUGUUGCUUCUGACUGUCUUCCCUGAUUACAAGUUGCGUCCCAAGCGUCACUUCGUAGAACAUUAUUCUUAUCUCAUAAAAAAUUUUGAACUUCAAAACAUUUUUUUUUUUUUUUUUUUUUAAGAGGGUUGUGUGUGAUGCCUGCAAUUUUAAAAAAUGUUUCACCCUGGCCUCAAGGCAUCAACUGAUGUUGGUGUAUUCUCUUAACAUGCCAAGUAUUUUCAAGCCAGAAGUUGAGACUGCUAAAGGUGUCUACUGUGUGUCUGGACAUCUGUGGAAUCAGACAAGAUUCUGAAAAGGUUCAGUAACAUUAUUCACUCUGUUCCGCAGCACUUACCCCCAAUGUCUUGGAUUAACCCAUGGAACAAAAUGGAACAAAAUGGAACAAAAAUAUUCAAAAGUAAUGAUUCUUUCUGUUGGAAGUACAAGCAGUCUUCCGGAACUUUGGUAGAAUUUUGGAAAUAUGUGUUGUGAUGGAUAAAGCCGAAUGGUUCUCAUUGUGUAACCGUUCCAUUCCUUGCCGAUCCAGCCAGCUGGUACGGAUACGGUUUCAUUUUCCACUGUGGGGCUGAUAACGGCCGCUCUUUGGAAUGUAAUACAAAAGCGUCAGUCGUUGCCUUGGUGAUGCAAUGGUUUACUGAUGAUACGAGAUAAAUAGUGACCGCGUUAUGGAGGAUGAUCAGAUAUUUCUUUUAUUUGUAUUAUUAAUUUGUGUUUAUGUCGCUCAAAUAGAGCACUUAGCCAGCUACAGAGAAACUGGUAGCUAGGAAACAAACAAGUGACCAAUCCUGAGUCACUUCACGGAUUCUAUCAGCACGAUUCAGCACGGUUAAGCCGGUGCACACUCUGCGAUUUAUAAUAGUCCUUUAGGAUUGUUGCUUGUCAGACUGUACGAACAUUAUCCUCGUGUCACACUGUGGGAUCUCAGCUGUCAUUUAUGUCAGACUGUACUACAGUCAAGACGCGUUAAAAACGGACGCACGCAUGAAAACUUAUCCGGAUACAUUCGGUGACUGUGAGCUGCAUUACACGCGGGACUGAAAUGGUGGCUAACAAAGAAAUCUCUAGCGUUAAUUUUGAUCACGGCGUGUCUUGAAAAACGAAGACAAUUUGACGUUUGUCGUAGGAGAAGUCACACUGGAGGAUUGUGCGCCAAAUCUUCUGACACUGCCAGAAUUUCGUCGGAGGUAAAAUUUGAUCGCAACGGUCAUUAAAAGAUUCAGUGAACAGUGAACAUGUCAAACUAACGAUCAGAGACUACAGAUUUUAGCCUAGGAUUAUAGGAAUCUUUUAGGAUUCUUAAAAUUUGUCUCAAAUCGUGGCCAAAAUCGCACAGUGUGAACCCGGCUUUACUCAAUCGUACCGAGAACAGUUUCCAGUGUUGCCAAGUCCUUGGUUUUCCCGCGGCUAAUUUUAGCCGGUUGCCGAGGGUUGUUUUUCAUGUCCGCGGGUUGAAGUGACCCCAAAUAGCAUGAUAUUUAGUCCCUGGAAUGCGAAUUUUAACAGGGGAACCCCACCAAAAAAACGUGGAUUUACCCCCCGAAACACGAUUUUUACAGAGGGACCAGGGUUGUCAGGUUUUCACAACAAAACCCACCCAAUUGCUACUCAGGACUAUCCCAAUUGCAUUUUCAGGGGAGGUCCUACAGUAAAAAAUCCACGUUUUUGGCGGGGUUCCCCAGGUAAAAUGCCAGGGGCUAAAUAUCAUAGUAUUUGGGGUCGCUUCAAUCCGCAGACAUGAAAAACAACCCACGGCAACAGGCUAAAAGUAGCCACGGGAAAACCAAGGACUUGGCAACACUGGAAACUGUAUGAUUGUCUAAUCGUGUUGGUAGAAUCCGUGAAGUGAUGUCGCCACUCAGGAUUGGUCACUACCAGUUUCUCUGUAGCUGGCUAAACGCUCUAUUUGACUGACGUAAACACAAAUUAAUAAUAAAAUUCAAAGAAAUAUCUGAUCGUCCUCAAUAACACAGUCUUUAUUUACAUCUCAUAUCAUCAGUAAACCAUGGCAUUACCAAGGCAACAACUGAUGCUUUUGUAUUAUAUUCCACAAACUGCGGACUUGGCAACACUGCAAGGGACCCCUGAAAUGCGAUUGGGCUAGUUUUAGGCUAGUUUUGAGUAGCAAUUGGCCGGAUUUUGGUUGUGAAAACCUGGCAACCCUGGUAAUAGUGCCGUGCCAUACCAGACUCAAUUGGAACCAUUCCUUACCAUUCUAAGAACUGUUCGAACCGACAGUGGAAAAGCGGCUAAAUAUGCUUCAUCAUUGAAGGAUUUAAGGCCUACUUUGUGGAGCAUCUGCGGAGUUACCAUCCUGUAAAGAAAAGCCCAGCUGGAUGUCUUCUGGUAACACCUGCAGAUUUUUUUUUUUUUUGGUAACACUUUAUUUCGAUGGUCCACUUUAGACAUUGAUUCUACUAACUAUAUGUAAAUUUGCAACUACAUGUCAACUAACUUUCAGAGUAUUAGUAGACUGUCUGCUUAAUAUCUGCUAACACUUUAUUUUGAUGCUCCCCAACAGACAUUCUACUGACUGUAAGUAACUUUGCAAGUGCAUGUCAACAUAUAACCCAAACCCUGACACCUAACCUAACAAUCUAGUAACAGUCUACUUGUAGCCUACUCUAAUGAGAGUUAGUUUACAUGUAGUUGCAAAGUUACUUACAGUUAGUUGUAGAAUGUCUAAAGUGGACCAUCAAAAUAAAGUCUUAACUUCUUUUUUUUUUUUAAUUCUCCUUUAUAUUUUAUUACCUUGUAAGGCAAAAUUUUUGAAAUAGGCAAAUUAGUUUUGCUGUACUGCUCAGUGACUCAUAAUAACACGAAAAAGAAUUGUGAUAAAAUCAUGAUCUUCCUGAAAAAAAAAUUGUGAUAUGAUAUUUUUGCCAUAUCGCUCACGUCAUGUUGUACAGUAUGUUGGGAACUGCAACUGACAGAAUGUACACUAUAGCAUGACACUAUGAUAUUUCUUCAGAUCGUGGAGACAUUUUAAUCGUUCACAAUCUAAAAUCAUGAUAUCACACACCCCUAAGGCAUUAACUAAUAUUAACAAAUGAGACCUUAUUGUAAAGUGUCACUGAUUUCUUGCAUUCCUUUUAUGUAAGAAUGGAUUUAUGAAAUAUUUACAUUGUUUUUAUGAAUGACACCAAAUUUAUUUAGACUUUUAAUAAGUUCAGAAAGUAUAAUGAGAUAUUACAAAUUAUUGUGACAGCAUACUGGUCAUUUUGGGUGAUAGUUUAUUUGCUAUCUUAUAAUUUAAGAAAAUGCUCAUUACAAAAAAUAACUUGUAAAACAGUAAAACAUAUUUCUGAGUGUGAACGCGCAGGUUUCUAUGGAAGCUUGAUUCUGCCAAGGAACAAAACUUUUUACUUUUUAAUUCUGACUUUAUUUCUCUCAAUUGCUAGUUUAUAUUUUGUAAUUCUGACUAUUUCUCUGAACUGUUAGAAAAUAUGUUAGAAAAAUUGUUAGAAAAGAUGGAGUUAUAGAAAAUUAUAGAAAGUCAGAUUUGUGAGACAUAAACUCGCAAUU